rnacentral:rRNA from 1 species
AUGCAAAUGGUCUCUUGCGGUCGCACGGCCGUGAACAUCAACGGCGAGAUCGGCCCUUUCUUCCCCACCCUUUGUUGGGUUCGACAAGGCGCCCCCUUCUCCCCGUUCUUGUUCAAUAUGGUCGUGGACGCGCUUGCCUUCAUCCUGGAUAAGGUGAAAGAUGCUGGCCAUAUCCGUGGGAUUACUCCCCACCUCGCCGGUGGCUUCGGAAUCUCCAUCCUCCAGUAUGCUGACGACACUAUCAUCAUGGUCGAAGGUUCGGAGACGGACAUCUCCAACCUCAAGUUCCUCCUCCUCUGCUUUCAACAAAUGUCGGACCUCAAGAUCAACUUCGACAAGAGUGAUGUUAUGGUGAUGGGAUACUCCCCCUCAGAGUCUUUGGCCAUUGCCAACAGGCUUAAUUGUCGCUUGGGCUCCUUCCCCAUGACCUACUUGGGUACACCCAUUAGUGACUCCCGGCUCACCGUCGUGGACUUGCGCCCUUCCGUGGCCAAGCUCCAAACGCGCAUAGAGCCCUGGCAGGGGAGGUGGCUAUCUAAGGCCGCCCGGACUAUUCUCAUCAACUCUUUCCUCUCCAGUCUCCUCUUGUUUCUCAUGAGCUUCUACAGUCUCCACGAGACCCUGCACCAUGAGAUCGCCAAGGUCCAGUCUCGCUUCUACUGGGCGGGCGACAACGAUAAGCAGAAGUAUCAUAUGGUUAGCUGGCCGGACAUUUGCAAGCCCAGGGAGCAAGGCGGCCUAGGCAUUAUGUGCUCUAAACGAUGA